AUGACAUUCCAGUUGAUGACUGCAACCAAACACACCCUUAGUGACGGAGACUUGCCUGAAUGUUAUUUUCCUCCGCGUGAAGUGCUUACAAUUCUCAAAGGCUUCAACAAGUCCCGGAGGAGAUUGACAAGGUGCAGGCAAGAUCUCAAGUUCAUUGCUGUCUUUGUCUGUCUGAACAUUUUCUUAUUUGGAGUUGCAGCCGAUUUAUGGUGUAUCAACCGACUUGGCUUAGGAUGUAUUGUAGUUAGUUUGGUUGCAUCAAUCAACAAGUCUUAUUAUGUAUUGCUAUUGGUUUGGUACCAUCAAACGACUGGCCAGUUGGAAAAUCAGCGGGGAAAACAUGUACUGUAA
rnacentral:rRNA from 1 species